CAGUGAAAGAAACCCGACGUCAUCCGUUAUUUGAUCGAAAAGUCGUGUGGAGUGAAUUUAUCGUGUCUCUGAUGCGCCUGAAAUCAAAAAAGGAAAUUUACAGAGAAAACGUUCAUUCAAACGAGAAAAAACCUGUUGAUUGUUAUUAGAAGUCCAUAAGCAGAAGGAAAUAUGGACAAAACUUUUGAUGGCUUAUUGACCAUUAUGUCGAGUGAAAUUGAGAAUCAAGUCAAUCAGCGCAUAUAUCUGACCCAAAGAAUGUUAGAUGCUGUGACCACCACAAGUCGUUCACUAGUGGUGGAUCCGGAGGACUUGCAGCCACUACAACCCAUGGCAUUGGAGGACGGACAGGAGGAACCACAGGGUCAAGGGGAACCAAAGGGUCAAGAGAAGCAACAGGACCAAGAGGAGAAAAUAAAAUGAAACAUUUUUAAACAAGACAAAACG